UAGGACACUGAAAAUUGUCUAGUGAGUCCA
rnacentral:piRNA from 1 species